rnacentral:rRNA from 1 species
UACGUAGGGGGCUAGCGUUGUCCGGAUUUAUUGGGCGUAAAGAGCGUGUAGGCGGCCAGGUAGGUCUGGUGUGAAAACUCGAGGCUUAACCUCGAGAUGUCAUCGGAAACCAUCUGGCUAGAGUCCGGAAGAGGAGAGUGGAAUUCCUGGUGUAGCGGUGAAAUGCGCAGAUAUCAGGAAGAACACCAAUGGCGAAAGCAGCUCUCUGGGACGGUACUGACGCUGAGACGCGAAAGCGUGGGGAGCGAACAGA